rnacentral:lncRNA from 1 species
CAGGGGUGCAGCUUUGGAAAACCCUCAGGGGUUGGAGUUUUUAUUCGAAAAUAUUUUUUAUUUGUUCGUCCCCAAGUGCGGUGGAGGGCGACGACCCACCUACUUGGAUGCCUGGGAUCUAAGUGGAUGAUGUCCCUACUGUCCCAGAGGUUUAUGUUCCCCAAGUGUGGUGGAGGGCGACGACCCACCUACUUGGAUGCCUAGGAUCUAAGUGGAUGAUGUCCCUACUGUCCUAGAUGCCUGGGAUUUAAGUAGAUGAUUUCCCUACUGUCCCGGAGGUUGAUCGUCCCCAAGUGCGGUGGAGGGCGACGACCCACCUACUUGGAUGCCUAGGAUUUAAGUGGAUGAUGUCCCUACUGUCCUAGAUGCCUGGGAUUUAAGUAGAUGAUUUCCCUACUGUCCCGGAGGUUGAUCGUCCCCAAGUGCGGUGGAGGGCGACGACCCACCUACUUGGAUGCCUAGGAUUUAAGUGGAUGAUGUCCCUACUGUCCUAGAUGCCUGGGAUUUAAGUAGAUGAUUUCCCUACUGUCCCGGAGGUUGUUCGUCCCCAAGUGCGGUGGAGGGCGACGACCCACCUACUUGGAUGCCUAGGAUUUAAGUGGAUGAUGUCCCUACUGUCCUAGAUGCCUGGGAUUUAAGUAGAUGAUUUCCCUACUGUCCCGGAGGUUGUUCGUCCCCAAGUGCGGUGGAGGGCGACGACCCACCUACUUGGAUGCCUAGGAUUUAAGUGGAUGAUGUCCCUACUGUCCUAGAUGCCUGGGAUUUAAGUAGAUGAUUUCCCUACUGUCCCGGAGGUUGUUCGUCCCCAAGUGCGGUGGAGGGCGACGACCCACCUACUUGGAUGCCUAGGAUUUAAGUGGAUGAUGUCCCUACUGUCCUAGAUGCCUGGGAUUUAAGUAGAUGAUUUCCCUACUGUCCCGGAGGUUGUUCGUCCCCAAGUGCGGUGGAGGGCGACGACCCACCUACUUGGAUGCCUAGGAUCUAAGUGGAUGAUGUCCCUACUGUCCUAGAUGCCUGGGAUUUAAGUAGAUGAUUUCCCUACUGUCCCGGAGGUUGUUCGUCCCCAAGUGCGGUGGAGGGCGACGACCCACCUACUUGGAUGCCUAGGAUCUAAGUGGAUGAUGUCCCUACUGUCCUAGAUGCCUGGGAUUUAAGUAGAUGAUUUCCCUACUGUCCCGGAGGUUGUUCGUCCCCAAGUGCGGUGGAGGGCGACGACCCACCUACUUGGAUGCCUGGGAUCUAAGUGGAUGAUGUCCCUACUGUCCCAGAGGUUUAUGUUCCCCAAGUGUGGUGGAGGGCGACGACCCACCUACUUGGAUGCCUGGAAUCUAAGUGGAUGAUUUCCCUACUGUUCCAGAGGUUGUUCGUCCCCAAGUGCGGUGGAGGGCGACGACCCACUUACUUGGAUGCCUGGGAUCUAAGUGGAUGAUGUCCCUACUGUCCCAGAGGUUUAUGUUUCCCCCAAGUGUGGUGGAUGGCGGCGACCCACCUACUUGGAUGCCUGGAAUCUAAGUGGAUGAUUUCCCUACUGUUCCAGAGGUUCGUUUUUCCCCAAGUGUGGUGAGGGCAACGACCCACCUACUUGGAUGCCUGGAAUCUAAGUGGAUGAUUUCCCUACUGUUCCAGAGGUUGUUUUUCCCCAAGUGUGGUGGAGGGCAACAACCCACCUAGUUGGAUGCCUAGGAUCUAAGUGGAUGAUGUCCCUACUGUCCUAGAUGCCUGGGAUUUAAGUAGAUGAUUUCCCUACUGUCCCGGAGGUUGAUCGUCCCCAAGUGCGGUGGAGGGCGACGACCCACCUACUUGGAUGCCUAGGAUUUAAGUGGAUGUUGUCCCUACUGUCCUAGAUGCCUGGGAUUUAAGUAGAUGAUUUCCCUACUGUCCCGGAGGUUGUUCGUCCCCAAGUAAGGUGGAGGGCGACGACCCACCUUCUUGGAUGCCUAGGAUUUAAGUAGAUGAUGUCCCUACUG